GGAGCAAACAGCUAUGGGUCAAGCCCGACAUCUUUAGGAGAAGUCUUAUUGUGAGGGCGAGUUGUAAAACACCAUAGGGCUGGCCGUCCCAUAUGAAAAGAUUUUAUUAGAAUUGAAUGAAACUUUGUUUAUAUAUUGAUAAUGACAGUAUAUAUAUCGUGUCUUGACUAAUUGCGUGCCAGCAGUCGCGGUAAUACGUAAGAGACUAGUGUUAUUCAUCUUAAUUAGGUUUAAAGGGUACCCAGACGGUCAAUAUAGCUUAUAAAAUGUUAGUACUUGACUAGAGUUUUAUGUAAGAGGGCAGUACUUGAGGAGGAGAGAUGAAAUUUCGUGAUACCAAAGGGACUCUGUAAAGGCGAAGGCAGCCCUCUAUGUAAAAACUGACGUUGAAGGACGAAGGCACAGAGAACAAACAGGAUUAGAUACCCAAGUAGUCUUUGCAGUAAAUGAUGAAUGCCAUAGGUUAGAUUAAUAGUUAAUGUAUAUAGGCUAGUAUAAUAGACUAUACAUUAAAAAUUAUUUGGUCUAUAAAUGAAAGUGUAAGCAUUUCACCUCAAGAGUAAUGUGGCAACGC
rnacentral:rRNA from 3 species